CUGACAAAGACUGAAGGAGACAAAGACUGAAGGAGACUAUCACAAAUUAGGGAAAAAGAUAACGGCUGCCAAGAUGUAUUAUCAACGUCUAAGAGUUAUGACACGUCCCUGCGAAUUGUCACACAGCGGUUCUAAAUUCUUUUCUAUGGAGUGAGAUUCUUUUACUUGACUGCCCUGGGGCUGAAAAAUGAAGCCAACCCAAAAGGACCUGUACACCUCCAGGACAUUGCGGCGUGCAGCCCGGAUCUCAGCUGACCCUUCCCACCCUGGACACAGUCUGUUUGACCUGCUCCCCUCAGGCAGGAGGCUCCGGUCCAUUCGCACCAGAACCUCUCGCCACAAGAACAGUUUCUUCCCCUCUGCUGUUGGACACAUGAACAAUAACCACAUGACUGUCCCCGCCACUCACACAUGACCCUACGCUGUGUUACUGCAUCAUUUCAUGUCUGGCACUGAUCACCACCUGCACUCAUGUAUAUAUCCUUCUACGUAGCACUCUUAAUUCUUAUUCUCAUGUAUAUAUCUAAUGUAUAUCUCAUGCACAUAUCUUUCUUUCUACAUAGCACUUUAAUUCUUAUUGUUUGCACUGAAGCACCGCAGCAAAUUCCUAAUGUUGUAAACCUCAACAUCUG
ensembl:lncRNA